rnacentral:rRNA from 1 species
GACGAAGGGGGCUAGCGUUGUUCGGAAUUACUGGGCUUAAAGCGCGUGUAGGCGGGCCGGCACGUCGGUCGCUGAAAUCCCCCGGCUCAACCGGGGAAGGGGCGCCGAUACGACCGGCCUGGAGGGGCGUAGGGGGACCGGGAACUUCCGGUGGAGCGGUGAAAUGCGUUGAGAUCGGAAGGAACGCCCGUGGCGAAAGCGCGGUCCUGGACGCCUGCUGACGCUGAGACGCGAAAGCCAGGGGAGCGAACGGG